CCUACGGGAGGCAGCAGUGGGGAAUAUUGGACAAUGGGCGAAAGUCUGAUCCAGCAAUGCCGCGUGAGUGAUGAAGGCCUUAGGGUUGUAAAGCUCUUUUACCCGGGAUGAUAAUGACAGUACCGGGAGAAUAAGCUCCGGCUAACUCCGUGCCAGCAGCCGCGGUAAUACGGAGGGAGCUAGCGUUGUUCGGAAUUACUGGGCGUAAAGCGCACGUAGGCGGCUUUGUAAGUUAGAGGUGAAAGCCUGGAGCUCAACUCCAGAAUUGCCUUUAAGACUGCAUCGCUUGAAUCCAGGAGAGGUGAGUGGAAUUCCGAGUGUAGAGGUGAAAUUCGUAGAUAUUCGGAAGAACACCAGUGGCGAAGGCGGCUCACUGGACUGGUAUUGACGCUGAGGUGCGAAAGCGUGGAGAGCAAACAGGAUUAGAUACCCUGGUAGUCCACGCCGUAAACGAUGAUAACUAGCUGUCAGGGCUCUUAGAGCUUUGGUGGCGCAGCUACGACAUUAAGUUAGUUCCGCCGUCGGGAGGUACGGUCGGCGAAGAAGUUAAACGUUAACUUAAAUUAGUAAGUUAGUUACGGACGUUGAGACGUGCCGACGGACGACGACGAGGGAGGAGG
rnacentral:rRNA from 1 species